rnacentral:rRNA from 1 species
AGUCGAACGGUGGCAGCAAUGUCAUAGUGGCGCACGGGUGCGUAACACGUAACUAAUCUACCUACAACUGGGGGAUAGCCCGCCGAAAGGCGGAUUAAUACCGCAUAACAUUUCUACCUGGCAUCAGGUGUUAAUUAAAGAUUUAUUGGUUGUAGAUGAGGUUGCGGGUCAUUAGCUAGUUGGGUGGGUAACGGCUGCCCAAGGCGACGAUGACUAGGGGAGCUGAGAGGCUGGUCCCCCACACGGGCACUGAGAUACGGGCCCGACUCCUACGGGAGGCAGCAGUAGGGAAUAUUGGGCAAUGGGCGAGAGCCUGACCCAGCCAUGCCGCGUGCAGGAAGAAGGCUUUCUGAGUCGUAAACUGCUUUUGACAGGGAAGAAUAAGGACUACGUGUAGUCUGAUGACGGUACCUGCAGAAUAAGCACCGGCUAACUCCGUGCCAGCAGCCGCGGUAAUACGGAGGGUGCGAGCGUUGUCCGGAUUUAUUGGGUUUAAAGGGUGCGUAGGCGGCUCAUUAAGUCCGGGGUGAAAGCCCGCUGCUCAACAGCGGAACUGCCCUGGAUACUGACGAGCUUGAGUACAGACGAGGUUGGCGGAAUGGACGGAGUAGCGGUGAAAUGCAUAGAUACCGUCCAGAACCCCGAUUGCGAAGGCAGCUGACUAGGCUGUUACUGACGCUGAGGCACGAAAGCGUGGGGAGCGAACAGGAUUAGAUACCCUGGUAGUCCACGCCGUAAACGAUGGAUACUCGCUGCGAGCUAAAGCUUGUUCGUGGCUUAGGGAAACCGAUAAGUAUCCCACCUGGGGAGUACGCUCGCAAGAGUGAAACUCAAAGGAAUUGAC